rnacentral:lncRNA from 1 species
UUACAUGCACCACCAACGGUUACAAGUUACAUGCACCACCAAUAGCAACAAGUUACAUGUACUGGCUAUUGUUACUAGCCUCUAUCUCACAUCAACGGUUAGAUGACCAUUGGAUGCCCCAAAGGCAUCAAAGGCUAGAUGACCGUCGGUUAUCCCACACGAGUUGGGCUCACUAAAAGGGAUCGAUCCUCAAGCCCGACUCGUACACAUUCGAGGGGCACCUUUCACGCGUGGGAAGUAAAAGUGUACCGUCAAGUACCCACGUCCUUGCACACGCAUGUGCGCAUUACACGUUUCGCAUGCAUU